rnacentral:misc_RNA from 1 species
CAAUUCACAAAAAUCUAAAGUAACCCUCACUCAACAUGUAUAUGCUGUUGAUUCCUGCCUUUACCAUUGAAGUUUUUAUACAUGCUUCCUUUAGUUUUUCAUACAUCUAAUAAACAGCAAUAGAAAGACAUUUCAUCAUUCACACAACACAAGCAUUGCAGGAGGGGAGAAAAAUUAUUACAGCAAUAGAGCAUUUCAAACAUGUAACAGUGUGAAGUGUUGGUGCAAAAGAAGUAACUGUGAUGCUCACCGUCAAAAGAAAACUGGUG